CGGGGCAACCUGGCGGCGAGUGGCGAACGGGUGAGUAAUAUAUCGGAACGUACCCUGGAGUGGGGGAUAACGUAGCGAAAGUUACGCUAAUACCGCAUACGAUCUAAGGAUGAAAGUGGGGGAUCGCAAGACCUCAUGCUCCUGGAGCGGCCGAUAUCUGAUUAGCUAGUUGGUGAGGUAAAGGCUCACCAAGGCGACGAUCAGUAGCUGGUCUGAGAGGACGAUCAGCCACACUGGAACUGAGACACGGUCCAGACUCCUACGGGAGGCAGCAGUGGGGAAUUUUGGACAAUGGGCGCAAGCCUGAUCCAGCAAUGCCGCGUGAGUGAAGAAGGCCUUCGGGUUGUAAAGCUCUUUUGUCAGGGAAGAAACGGUAGAGGCUAAUAUCCUUUGCUAAUGACGGUACCUGAAGAAUAAGCACCGGCUAACUAC
rnacentral:rRNA from 1 species